rnacentral:rRNA from 1 species
GCGAGUUACGAUUUGAUGCAAGGUUAAGCAGUAAAUGUGGAGCCGUAGCGAAAGCGAGUCUGAAUAGGGCGUUUAGUAUUUGGUCGUAGACCCGAAACCAGGUGAUCUACCCUUGGUCAGGUUGAAGUUCAGGUAACACUGAAUGGAGGACCGAACCGACUUACGUUGAAAAGUGAGCGGAUGAACUGAGGGUAGCGGAGAAAUUCCAAUCGAACCUGGAGAUAGCUGGUUCUCUCCGAAAUAGCUUUAGGGCUAGCCUCAAGUGAUGAUUAUUGGAGGUAGAGCACUGUUUGGACGAGGGGCCCCUCUCGGGUUACCGAAUUCAGACAAACUCCGAAUGCCAAUUAAUUUAACUUGGGAGUCAGAACAUGGGUGAUAAGGUCCGUGUUCGAAAGGGAAACAGCCCAGACCACCAGCUAAGGUCCCAAAAUAUAUGUUAAGUGGAAAAGGAUGUGGCGUUGCCCAGACAACUAGGAUGUUGGCUUAGAAGCAGCCAUCAUUUAAAGAGUGCGUAAUAGCUCACUAGUCGAGUGACACUGCGCCGAAAAUGUACCGGGGCUAAACAUAUUACCGAAGCUGUGGAUUGUCCUUUGGACAAUGGUAGGAGAGCGUUCUAAGGGCGUUGAAGCAUGAUCGUAAGGACAUGUGGAGCGCUUAGAAGUGAGAAUGCCGGUGUGAGUAGCGAAAGACGGGUGAGAAUCCCGUCCACCGAUUGACUAAGGUUUCCAGAGGAAGGCUCGUCCGCUCUGGGUUAGUCGGGUCCUAAGCUGAGGCCGACAGGCGUAGGCGAUGGAUAACAGGUUGAUAUUCCUGUACCACCUAUAAUCGUUUUAAUCGAUGGGGGGACGCAGUAGGAUAGGCGAAGCGUGCGAUUGGAUUGCACGUCUAAGCAGUAAGGCUGAGUAUUAGGCAAAUCCGGUACUCGUUAAGGCUGAGC